AAUACCUUUUAAUUACAGUCAUAUAAUUAUAAAUAGGAAAGAAAUUAAAAGAUGAAGAUGUGGUUUGUAAUGAAAUUACCAUAAAUACCAUGGCAAACUUUAAAGUCGUCAUGAAAAUUCAUAACACAAAAACAUGAAUGUGGAGGUUAACUUCUACCAAGACUAGAAUUAAAAUUUUGUGGAUUCGUGGUCUUCCUUGUUAGCUUGGUAUUUCCUGCUAAGUACACAUAGGCACCAUUAGUCAUGCAGUCACAAACAGACCUUUAAAAAGUCAGAGUCCUUAUUGGCAACUCUUAUGUUCCCUAAGCUACUUGGGCAAGCUGACAUAGAAAUGACUGGCUUCCAAAGAUAAAUGGUGGAACCAUCAAAAGAAAUCUCAUCCAACUGCUGGACAUUUUUAAAAAAUUAUUUUUCCUAUUGGAAUCAGGCACGUAUUUUGUUUGUGAUGCAUGAGUUUAUCUUGCAGUCUUUAUUGAAAAUGGUUUGUUGACUUGGAGCUAAUGAGUAGAGGGUGAUCUAGGAAGUCAGGCCAUAUUACGAUUUUAGGUCUACUGCUGGUAAAAAUUAUUAUAUGGAAUUUGAGUUUGAAUUCUCUUAUAUUCUAUUACUUUCUAUACAGUUAGCUGAUGCAGCUGUGAUAGGGAAUAAUGAAGUAAGUAUAUAACUGUAGUUUCUCUAGAAGCUGUUUCCUUUGUUGAAGCCAUGAAUAUGUGUGCUGGAAGGGACAUUAGAGAUUUUAGCACACUGUUCCUAUAACUGCGGUCCAGAGAGAAUAAAAGGCUUGCCUGAAGUCA
rnacentral:lncRNA from 12 species